UAGGCGGUAAAAUAAGUCUGAUGUGAAAGCCCCCGGCUCAACCGGGGAGGGUCAUUGGAAACUGUUUUACUUGAGUACAGAAGAGGAGAGUGGAAUUCCAUGUGUAGCGGUGAAAUGCGCAGAGAUAUGGAGGAACACCAGUGGCGAAGGCGGCUCUCUGGUCUGUUACUGACGCUGAGGUGCGAAAGCGUGGGGAUCAAACAGGAUUAGAUACCCUGGUAGUCCACGCCGUAAACGAUGAGUGCUAAGUGUUGGGGGGUUUCCGCCCCUCAGUGCUGCAGCUAACGCAUUAAGCACUCCGCCUGGGGGAGUACGACCGCAAGGUUGAAACUCAAAGGAAUUGACGGGGGACCCGCACAAGCGG
rnacentral:rRNA from 1 species